UGGGGAAUCUUGGACAAUGGGCGCAAGCCUGAUCCAGCCAUGCCGCGUGAGUGAAGAAGGCCUUCGGGUUGUAAAGCUCUUUUACCAGGGACGAUAAUGACGGUACCUGGAGAAUAAGCCCCGGCAAACUUCGUGCCAGCAGCCGCGGUAAUACGAAGGGGGCUAGCGUUGUUCGGAAUCACUGGGCGUAAAGCGCACGUAGGCGGAUAGUUAAGUCAGGGGUGAAAUCCUGGGGCUCAACCCCAGAACUGCCUUUGAUACUGGCUGUCUCGAGGUCGAGAGAGGUUGGUGGAAUUCCUAGUGUAGAGGUGAAAUUCGUAGAUAUUAGGAAGAACACCAGUGGCGAAGGCGGCCAACUGGCUCGAUACUGACGCUGAGGUGCGAAAGCGUGGGGAGCAAACAGGAUUAGAUACCCAUGUAGUCCCUGAGCGGGCUGGCAAGGCGCAU
rnacentral:rRNA from 1 species